rnacentral:snoRNA from 1 species
AUUGCAGGUGUAGCAAAGAGGAAAGAAGCUAUGUCUAAGCUCAGUGUUCUGAACUGUGAACAUAUGAAUGAUUAAUAGCCUAACAUU